UACGUAGGGUGCGAGCGUUGUCCGGAAUUAUUGGGCGUAAAGAGCUCGUAGGCGGUUUGUCACGUCGUUCGUGAAAACCUGCAGCUUAACUGUGGGCGUGCGGUCGAUACGGGCAUCACUGGAGUUCGGCAGGGGAGACUGGAAUUCCUGGUGUAGCGGUGAAAUGCGCAGAUAUCAGGAGGAACACCGGUGGCGAAGGCGGGUCUCUGGGCCGAUACUGACGCUCAUGCACGAAAGCGUGGGGAGCAAACAGG
rnacentral:rRNA from 1 species